rnacentral:rRNA from 1 species
UACGAAGGGGGCUAGCGUUGUUCGGAAUUACUGGGCGUAAAGCGCGUGUAGGCGGGCCGUUAAGUCGGGGGUGAAAGCCCAGAGCUCAACUCUGGAAUUGCCUUCGAUACUGGCGGCCUGGAGCAUGAUAGAGGCGAGUGGAAUUGCGAGUGUAGAGGUGAGAUUCGUAGCUAUUCGCAGGAACACCAGUGGCGAAGGCGACUCGCUGGUUCAUUGCUGACGCUGAGACGUGCAAGCGUGGGGAGCUAACAGG